UACAGAGGGUGCGAGCGUUAAUCGGAAUUACUGGGCGUAAAGCACACGUAGGCGGCUUGGUAUGUCGGGUGUGAAAUCCCCGGGCUCAACCUGGGAACUGCAUCCGAAACUGCCUUGCUCGAGUAUGGGAGAGGGAAGUGGAAUUUCCGGUGUAGCGGUGAAAAUGCGUAGAUAUCGGAAGGAACAUCAGUGGCGAAGGCGACUUCCUGGACCAAUCUGACGCUCAGGUGCGAAAGCGUGGGGAGCAAACAGG
rnacentral:rRNA from 1 species